GAUCAGUGAUUAAAAGGUUUUACUACAGACUUUAAUAACUAUAAGAUCUCUACACUUGAUCUGAUAUCA
ensembl:snoRNA